rnacentral:tRNA from 1 species
GCCUGGGUGGCUCAGUCGAUUAAGCGACUGACUUCAGCUCAGGUCAUGGAUCUCACGGUUUGUGGGUUCGAGUCCCAUUUUGGGUU